rnacentral:lncRNA from 1 species
AGACGUUACUGCCCUCUUGCGUGCCCCGGCCACCCCCGGGCGGCUUGUAGCCGGUGCGCGGGGUGGCUGGGGCUACGUGCAGAGCUGUCGCGGAGCCGGAACAGCAGCGGUGAAGCCCCUCGGCUCGGCCGAGACCGCCGUGCCCACUGCUCGCCUCGGUUGCCGCCGCUUUAGCCGCAGCCGCUGCUGCCGCCGCCGGGGGAGAGGCAGCCUAUUGUCUUUCUCCGCGGCGAAGGUGAGGAGCUGUCUCGGCUCGGCCCGCGGGGGAGCCCCGGGAGCCGCACGGAGAUGGAGGAGGACAUCUGGACAGUGAGCAGGAGGCGCUUCGGCCCAUGCCGAACAUCCCAGGGGACCUGGAGAGCCGGGAGGCCAUGGUGGCAUUUUUCAACUCCGCUGGAGCCAAUGCCCAGGAGGAACAAAGGGUGUGCUGCCAGCCCCUGGCUCACCCAGUGGCCUCGUCCCAGAAAAAGCCAGAGGAAAGUACAUCAGCCAGGGGGCAGUGUCAGAGACGCAGCACUGGGAGAGGAGGACAUCGUCAGGCUGGCCCAGGACCAGGAGGAGAUGAAGGUGAACCUGCAGGAGCUGCGGGGCAGGUGUUGCAGCUUGUGGGAGACCACAAGGAGGGGCAUGGCAAAUUCUGACCAUUGCCCAGAACCCUGCUGAUGAGCCCACUCUAGGAGCCCCAAUAGCCCAGGAGCUUGGGUGUGCUGACGAGCAGGGUGAUCACCACUGGAUUGCUGACAGAUAGAGGACGUGGGACCGUGACUAUCACCCCUAAUCUGCAGUGGAUUUGGCUCUCGGCACUCCCAGGCUGGGAGCUGGAUACCUGCCCUGGCAGCAUGACUCAGACUGCAUGACAGUCACAGACUCGCCUCUGCUCCUGUGGUCCAGUGGCCGGACACCCCCUGGGAUGGCUCAAAGGAGUCAGGACUUGGAAGUGGGGACAUCAGGGUAGCUGAAGGAAAUCCACACACCCAGAGCAUCUCGGAGUUCAGACUCUCAGACCUGAAGUAGGCGCCCCCGGGACUGGGCUAGGAGUUGGACGGAAUGGAGGAUGGAGGACAGCGAGAAGAAAGGAAGAGAAAUGCAAAGUGUGGGCAGCCGCCAAGAGUGAAAAUAGAGGGAAGUGUCAUGCAAGUGCUGGACAGAAGGCGGCAGGUGGGACGAGCCCCACAGCCCCCUCCUCAAAAACGACCACCUCCAGGACUCAGUGAUCCCUGGGGGGCAGGCUCUGCCAGCCCUCGGCCACACGUGGCUCCGGCACCCAUGGUCCCAGUGCCUUGGAUGGAGACGGCCAGUUCUGGCGGCCAGAUGUGGUGCUCUGGAAUCCAGUCCCAUUUCCUUCCUGG